CAGCCGCCGCGGUAAAACCAGCACCUCAAGUGGUCAGGAUGAUUAUUGGGCCUAAAGCAUCCGUAGCCGGCUCUGUAAGUUUUCGGUUAAAUCUGUACGCUCAACGUACAGGCUGCCGGGAAUACUGCAGAGCUAGGGAGUGGGAGAGGUAGACGGUACUCGGUAGGAAGGGGUAAAAUCCUUUGAUCUAUUGAUGACCACCUGUGGCGAAGGCGGUCUACCAGAACACGUCCGACGGUGAGGGAUGAAAGCUGGGGGAGCAAACCGGAUUAGAUACCCGGGUAGUCCCAGCUGUAAACUAUGCAAACUCAGUGAUGCAUUGGCUUGUGGCCAAUGCGGUGCUGCAGGGAAGCCGUUAAGUUUGCCGCCUGGGAAGUACGUACGCAAGUAUGAAACUUAAAGGAAUUGGCGGGGGAGCAC
rnacentral:rRNA from 2 species